rnacentral:rRNA from 1 species
GAACGAGAAAGUGGAGCAAUCCAUGAGUAAAGUGGCGCACGGGUGAGUAACACGUGACUAACCUACCUUUUAGUGGGGGAUAACCUAGGGAAACCUGGGCUAAUACCGCAUAAUACCUACGGGUCAAAGCAGCAAUGCGCUGAAAGAGGGGGUCGCGGCCGAUUAGCUAGUUGGCGGGGUAAUGGCCCACCAAGGCAGUGAUCGGUAUCCGGCCUGAGAGGGCGCACGGACACACUGGAACUGAAACACGGUCCAGACUCCUACGGGAGGCAGCAGUGGGGAAUUUUGCGCAAUGGGGGAAACCCUGACGCAGCAACGCCGCGUGGAGGAUGAAGUCCCUUGGGACGUAAACUCCUUUCGAUCGGGACGAUAAUGACGGUACCGGAAGAAGAAGCCCCGGCUAACUUCGUGCCAGCAGCCGCGGUAAUACGAGGGGGGCAAGCGUUGUUCGGAAUUAUUGGGCGUAAAGGGUGCGUAGGUGGUUCGGCAAGUCUUGUGUGAAAUCUUCAGGCUCAACUUGAAGUCUGCACAAGAAACUGCCGGGCUUGAGUAUGGGAGAGGUGAGUGGAAUUUCCGGUGUAGCGGUGAAAUGCGUAGAUAUCGGAAGGAACACCUGUGGCGAAAGCGGCUCACUGGACCAUUACUGACACUGAGGCACGAAAGCUAGGGGAGCAAACAGGAUUAGAUACCCUGGUAGUCCUAGCCCUAAACGAUGAUCGCUUGGUGUGGCGGGUAUCCAACCCUGCCGUGCCGAAGCUAACGCGUUAAGCG